GCAAGUCGAGCGGGGAAAGNUAGCUUGCUACCUAACNUAGCGGCGGACGGGUGAGUAAUGCUUAGGAAUCUGCCUAUUAGUGGGGGACAACAUUCCGAAAGGAAUGCUAAUACCGCAUACGUCUACGGGAGAAAGCAGGGGANCUUCGGGCCUUGCGCUAAUAGAUGAGCCUAAGUCGGAUUAGCUAGUUGGUGGGGUAAAGGCCUACCAAGGCGACGAUCUGUAGCGGGUCUGAGAGGAUGAUCCGCCACACUGGGACUGAGACACGGCCCAGAANNCUACGGGAGGCAGCAGUGGGGAAUAUUGGACAAUGGGGGGAACCCUGAUCCAGCCAUGCCGCGUGUGUGAAGAAGGCCUUUUGGUUGUAAAGCACUUUAAGCGAGGAGGAGGCUACUAGUAUUAAUACUACUGGAUAGUGGACGUUACUCGCAGAAUAAGCACCGGCUAACUCUGUGCCAGCAGCCGCGGUAAUACAGAGGGUGCGAGCGUUAAUCGGAUUUACUGGGCGUAAAGCGUGCGUAGGCGGCUGAUUAAGUCGGAUGUGAAAUCCCUGAGCUUAACUUAGGAAUUGCAUUCGAUACUGGUCAGCUAGAGUAUGGGAGAGGAUGGUAGAAUUCCAGGUGUAGCGGUGAAAUGCGUAGAGAUCUGGAGGAAUACCGAUGGCGAAGGCAGCCAUCUGGCCUAAUACUGACGCUGAGGUACGAAAGCAUGGGGAGCAAACAGGAUUAGAUACCCUGGUAGUCCAUGCCGUAAACGAUGUCUACUAGCCGUUGGGGCCUUUGAGGCUUUAGUGGCGCAGCUAACGCGAUAAGUAGACCGCCUGGGGAGUACGGUCGCAAGACUAAAACUCAAAUGAAUUGACGGGGGCCCGCACAAGCGGUGGAGCAUGUGGUUUAAUUCGAUGCAACGCGAAGAACCUUACCUGGUCUUGACAUAGUAAGAACUUUCCAGAGAUGGAUUGGUGCCUUCGGGAACUUACAUACAGGUGCUGCAUGGCUGUCGUCAGCUCGUGUCGUGAGAUGUUGGGUUAAGUCCCGCAACGAGCGCAACCCUUUCCUUAUUUGCCAGCGGGUUAAGCCGGGAACUUUAAGGAUACUGCCAGUGACAAACUGGAGGAAGGCGGGGACGACGUCAAGUCAUCAUGGCCCUUACGACCAGGGCUACACACGUGCUACAAUGGUCGGUACAAAGGGUUGCUACCUAGCGAUAGGAUGCUAAUCUCAAAAAGCCGAUCGUAGUCCGGAUUGGAGUCUGCAACUCGACUCCAUGAAGUCGGAAUCGCUAGUAAUCGCGGAUCAGAAUGCCGCGGUGAAUACGUUCCCGGGCCNNGUACACACCGCCCGUCACACCAUGGGAGUUUGUUGCACCAGAAGUAGGUAGUCUAACCGCAAGAGGACGCUUACCACGGUGUGCCCGAUGACUGGGGU
rnacentral:rRNA from 1 species